GCAAGGACUUAUUCGAUUAUAGUGCUUUCCGAUUCCUUCUGGGAUAAAGUUCACAACGUCGUUUCCUUCCUGUAUCCGAUGUAUAAGGUCCUACGAGCCGUAGAUAAUGAGACGUGGCCUUCGAUGGGGUCAAUGUAUGAGCUUAUGAGAAUUAUGAGACAGGGGAUAAUGACUGCAAUCCCCACUUCGUAUCAGUGGGUGAUUGAUAUCAUCGAUCGUUGAUGGACUAGGACUCUCGAGCAUCCACUCCACCAAGCUGCAUACUACCUGAAUCCCAAAUUUCAUUAUAAACGUCGGCUCCAUGAGAAUCAAGAUUUGACGAUGGCCGUCCACGAGGCGUUCGAAUGAUUGUUCCCAGAAUCAACAGCGCAAGCAGAUUUCGAUAACCAGUUGUUGCGGUUUAGGGAUGCGAGGGGUACGUUCUCAUCCGCACUAGCAAAAGCAUCGACUGAAACGAUGAUGCCGUGUGAGUAUGGUAACAUAAUUAGGUAAUUGCAUUUUUUGUUUAAACUUCAAACUAAAACAAGCUCCUCAUGGAUAUAUAGGUGAGUGGUGGGCGAUGUACGGAGUCGACACGCCAGCACUGCAGUUAUUGGCAGUUCGUGUUCUCGCACAGACUGUAUCCUCCUCACCGUGUGAGAGGAAUUGGAGCACAUGAUCACUCAUACACACUAGCAAGAGGAACAGACUAGCAUAUGAGAAGCUACAAAAGCUCAUUUACUGCCAUUACAAUAUGAAGUUAAGAGAGAGGCAGUUGCAGGUAGACCAAGAC